GGAGUCUUCCACAAUGGACGCAAGUCUGAUGGAGCAACGCCGCGUGAGUGAAGAAGAUCUUCGGAUCGUAAAACUCUGUUGUUAGAGAAGAACACGAGUGAGAGUAACUGUUCAUUCGAUGACGGUAUCUAACCAGCAAGUCACGGCUAACUACGUGCCAG
rnacentral:rRNA from 1 species